UGGGGAAUAUUGGACAAUGGGCGCAAGCCUGAUCCAGCCAUGCCGCGUGAGUGACGAAGGCCUUAGGGUUGUAAAGCUCUUUUGGCGGGGAAGAUAAUGACGGUACCCGCAGAAUAAGCUCCGGCUAACUUCGUGCCAGCAGCCGCGGUAAUACGAAGGGAGCUAGCGUUGUUCGGAAUCACUGGGCGUAAAGCGCACGUAGGUGGGCAGUUAAGUCAGGGGUGAAAGCCCGGGGCUCAACCUCGGAAUUGCCUCUGAUACUGGCUGUCUAGAGUUCGAGAGAGGUGAGUGGAAUUCCUAGUGUAGAGGUGAAAUUCGUAGAUAUUAGGAAGAACACCGGUGGCGAAGGCGGCUCACUGGCUCGAUACUGACACUGAGGUGCGAAAGCGUGGGGAGCAAACAGGAUUAGAUACCCUAGUAGUCCCUGAGCGGGCUGGCAAGGCGCAU
rnacentral:rRNA from 1 species